rnacentral:rRNA from 1 species
AUCAACUUUCGAUGGUAGGAUAGAGGCCUACCAUGGUGGUAACGGGUAACGGGGUGUUAGGGCACGACACCGGAGAGGGAGCCUGAGAAACGGCUACCACAUCCAAGGAUGGCAGCAGGCGCGCAAAUUACCCAAUCCCGACACGGGGAGGUAGUGACAAUAAAUAACAAUACGGGGUCCUUUCGGAUUUCGUAAUUGGAAUGAGUACAAUUUAAAUCUCUUAACGAGGAACAAUUGGAGGGCAAGUCUGGUGCCAGCAGCCGCGGUAAUUCCAGCUCCAAUAGCGUAUAUUAAAGUUGCUGCAGUUAAAAAGCUCGUAGUUGAAUUUCGGGACCAAUAUGUCGGUCGUGCCUCGGUACGUACUGGCAUCGUUGGUUUCUCCCUUCUGACGAACCAUGAUGUCAUUUAUUUGGUGUCGUGGGGAAUCAGGACUGUUACUUUGAAAAAAUCAGAGUGUUUAAAGCAGGCUCACGCUUGAAUACAUUAGCAUGGAAUAAUGAAAUAGGACGUUUGAUUCUAUUUUGUUGGUUUCUAGGAUCGACGUAAUGAUUAAUAGGGAUAGUUGGGGGCAUUAGUAUUCAAUUGUCAGAGGUGAAAUUCUUGGAUUUAUUGAAGCCUAACUACUGCGAAAGCAUUUGCCAAGGAUGUUUUCAUUAAUCAAGAACGAAAGUUAGGGGAUCGAAGACGAUCAGAUACCGUCGUAGUCUUAACCAUAAACUAUGCCGACUAGGGAUCGGAUGAUGUUAAUUUUUUAAUGACUCAUUCGGCGCCUUACGGGAAACCAAAGUGUUUGGGUUC